AGCACACACGCAGCAGUGUAUGUAUGUGUGUGUGUGUGUGUAUAUAUAUAUAUAUGUAUGUGUGUACGUGUAUAUAUAUAUAUAUAUAUAUAUAUAUAUACACACACAUACAUAUACACGCGGCAUGUGUUUG